rnacentral:rRNA from 1 species
UCUUUAUAUAAUAUAAAUUAAUUUUAAUUAAGAAUAUUUUAUUUUUUAAUUUUUAUUAUAUUUUAUUGGGGUAAUAAAAAGAUUAAAUAAAUUCUUUUUUUAUUUUAACAUUAAUUAAUGAUUAUGUGAUCCAAUUUUAUUGAUUAAAAGAUUAAGU